rfam:Myotis davidii contig165374, whole genome shotgun sequence.
CAUGCAUCAGUGGGGUCCCUCGGCCUGGCCUGUGGGAUUGGGCCAAAACUGGCUCUCUGACAUUCCCCGAGAGGUCCUGGAUUGCGAGAGGGCACAGGCCAGGCCGAGGGACCCCACUGGGGCACG